GUCGAACGCUGGCGGCGUGCCUAACACAUGCAAGUCGAACGCAGUGGGGACGGGUGAGUAACACGUGGGUCACCUCCCAUCAGAGGAGAUAACCCGUGGAAACAAGUGCUAAACCGAUACUGGUGGAUGGACCGGGGGUGCAUUAGCUAGUUGGGGAGGUAACGGCUUACCAAGGCCACGAUGCAUAGCCGGUCUGAGAGGGUGACCAGCCACACUGGGACUGAGACAAGGUCCAGACUCCGACGGGAGGCAGCAGUGGGGAAUAUGGGGCAAGGGGCGAAAGCCUGACCGAGCAAUGCCGCGUGAGUGAAGAAGGCCUUCGGAUUGUAAAGCACUUUUGGUGGAGAAGCGGUACCUAAAGAGAAAGCAACGGCUAACUACGUGCCAGCAGCCGCGGUAAUUC
rnacentral:rRNA from 1 species